ensembl:lncRNA
UAUAUAUAUUUAUAUAUUGGUCAAAUAGCCCUUACACAGCCUGGAGGUGUGUUGGGUCAUUGGAGAGCAAGAUGGCGCCGACAGAGAGCGCUGCCUAGCUUCUAGUCCUUAGGAAACUUGGAAGCGGAUCCUUUGUACGCACCACCCAGGGCAAUUUGAACUGAUUCCAGAGGCCAACCCAAAACAACGCCACCGGAGAAGGAGACGGAGUGGUCUUCUGGUCAGACUUCGUAGGCACGCACACCACCCACCGCUUCCGAGUAAAUUACUCGCUAAUGUCCAGUCCCGAGAUAACAAGGUUGACAAAGUCAGGGCAAGGGUUGCUUUUCAGAGAGACAUCAGAGAUUGUAACCUACUCUGUUUCACGGAAACAUGGCUCUCUCGGGAUAUGCUGUCGGAGUCGGUACAGCCAACUGGAUUCUCAGUCCCGACAGGAAUAAACAUCUCUCCGGAAAGAAAAAGGGCGGGUGUAUGUUUCAUGAUUAACGACUCAUGGUGUAAUUGUAAACAACAUACAGGAAUACAGUGCCACCGACGCUGCCCGCCACCAAGGACUGUGGGCUCUCCUUCUCUGUGGUCGACAUGAGUAAGACAUUUAAACAUUUAAACCUGUUAACCCUCGCAGGUCUGUCGGCCCAGACGGCAUCCCUAGCCGCGUCCUCCGAGCAUGCGCAGACCAGUUGGCUGGUGUGUUUAUGGACAUGCUUAAUCUCUCCCUAUCCUACUCUGCUGUCCCCACAUGCUUCAAGAUGGCCACCAUUGUUCCUGUGCCCAAGAAUGCAAAGGUCCACAGAUGAUUCAAUCGGCAUCACACUGCACAAUGCCCUAUCCCAUCUGGACAAGAGGAAUACCUAUGUAAGAAUGCUGUUCGUUGGCUAUAGCUCAGCAUUCAACACCAUAGUACCCUCCAAUCUCAUCAUUAAGCUUGAGGCCCUGGAUCUCAACCCGCCCUGUGCAAUUGGGUCCUGGACUUCCUGAUGGGCCACCCCCAGGUGAUGAAGGUAGGAAACAACAUCUCCACUUUGCUGAUCCCCAACACAAGAGUACAUGCUCAGCCCCCUCCUGUACUCCCUGUUCACCCAUGACUGCAUGGCCAUGCACGCCUCCAACUCAAUCAUCAAGUUUGCAGACACAACAGUCUGACUUACCAACAACAACGAGACAGCUUACAGAGAGGAGGUGAGGGCAAUCUGAGUGUGGUGUCAGGAAAAUAACUUCUCACUCAACGUCAAAAAAACAAAGGAGAUGAUCGUGGACUUCAGGAAACAGCAGAGGGAGCACCCCCCUAUCCACAUUGACGGGACAGCAGUGGAGAAGGUGGAAAGUUUUAAAUUCCUCUGUGUACACAUCACUGACAAAUUUAAUGGUCCACCCACACAGACAGUGGUGAAGAAGGCUGAAGAAAUGUGGCUUGUCACCUAAAAGCCUCUCAAACUUUUACAGAUUCACAAUUUAGAGCAUCCUGUCGGGCUGUAUCACCGUCUGGUACAGCAACUGCACCGCCCACAACUGCAGGGCUCUCCAGAGGGUGGUGCGGUCUGCACAACACAUCACCGGGGCAAACUACCUGCCCUCCAGGACUCAGCGCCCGAUGUCACAUGAAGGCCAAAAAGAUCAUCAAGGACAACAACCACACGAGCCACUCCCUGUUCACCCCGCUACCAUCCAGAAGGCGAGGUCAGUACAGCUGGGACUGAGAGACAGAAGCUGUUUUUCAAUCACAGAGAGGCUGCUGCCUACAUACAGACUUGAAAUCAUUGGCUACUUUAAUAAAUGGAACACUAGUCACUUAAUGGCAUUUUAAUCAUGUUUACAUAUCUUGCAUUACUCAUUUCAUAUGUACUUAGGCUAUGCGGCUCUGUCAUUGCUCAUCCAACUAUUUAUAUAUUCUUAUUCCAUGCCUUUACUUAGAUUUGUGUGUAUUAGGCAUUUGUUGUUGACUUGUUAGAUAUUGCUGCACUGUCAGAACUAGAAGCACUACUCUACUCUCGCAAUACCACCUGCUAACCAUGUGUAUGUGACCAAUAACAUUUAAUUUUAUUUGUCCUGUUGAAAAACAAAUGAUAGUCCCACUGAGCGCAUACCAGACGGGAUGGUGUAUUGCUGCAGAAUGCUGUGGUAGCCAUGCUGGUUAAGUGUGCCUUGAAUUCUAAAUAAAUUACUGACAGUGUCACCAGUAAAGCACCAUAACACCACCACCUCCAUGCUUCACGUUGGGAACCACACAUGGGAAGAUCAUCCGUUCAUCUACUCCUCAUCUCACAAACACACGGAGGUUAGAACCAAAAAUCUAAAAUUCUGAAUAAUCAAACCAAAGGACAGAUUUCCACCGGUCUAAUGUCCAUUGCUCGUGGUUCUUGGCCCAAGCAAGUCUCUUCUUAUUGAUGUCCUUUAGUAGUGGUUUCUUUGCAGCAAUUCGACCAUGAAAGCCUGAUUCACACAGUCUCCUUUGAACAGUUGAUGUGUCUGUUACUUGAACUGAAGCAUUUAUUUGGGCUGCAAUUUCUGAGGCUGGUAACUCUAAUGAACUUAUCCUCUGCAUCAGAGUUAACUCUGGGUCUUCCUGUCCUGUGGCGGUCCUCAUGAGAGCCAGUUUCAUCAUAGUGCUUGAUGGUUUUUGCAACUGCACUUGAAGAAACUUUCAAAAUUCUUUAAAUGUUCCGCAUUGACUGACGUUCAUGUCUUAAAGUAAUGAAGGACUUUCUUUUUAACUUAUUUCAGCUGUUUUUUCCAUAAUAUGGACUUGGUCUUUUACCAAAUAGGGCUGUCUUCUGUAUACCACCCCUACCUUGUCACAACACAACUGAUUGGCUCAAAUGCAUUAAGAUGGAAAGAAAUUCCACAAAUUAACUUUUAAGUUAUUUGAAAUGGAUUCCAGGUGACUACCUCAUGAAGCUGGUUGAGAGAAUGCCAAGAGUGUGCAAAGUUGUCAUCAAGGGUACUUUGAAGAAUCUCAAAUAUAACAUUUUGAUUUGUGUAACGCAUGUGUUAUUUCAUAGUUUUGAUGUCUUCACUAUUAUUCUACAAUGUAGAAAAUAGUUUAAAAAAUAAAGAAGACCCCUUGAAUGAGUAGGUGUGUCCAAACCUUUGUCUGGUACUGUAUGUUUUUUUAAAGGCAGUAAAUGAGGCUGAAUGAACUGUUUCACUGCCUGACAAGGCUCUGCUGAUAGCCAGGUGUAUUGUUGUGUUGUGUAGUGGCUGUGCUGGCAUGCAUCCCAAUUAUAUAUUUUUAGUUUGCCUCACCAAGAUUUACAUGCUAAAAUCGCCACUGUUGAAACAGCCGGCCUCCUGGGCUUUUCACGCAGGACAGUGUCUAGGGUUUACCGAGAAUGGUAAACAAACAAACAUCCUGUCAUUGGCAGUCCUGUGGGUGAAAACAGCUCGAUGAUGAUGAGAGGUCAAGGGGGAAUGGCAAGAAUUGUGCAAGCUAACAGGCGGGUCACAAACAGGCAAAUAAUGGUGCAGUACAACAGUGGUGUGCACAACGGCAUCUCGGAACGGCAUCUUGUCACAUAUGGCUAUUUCAGCAGAUUACCACACAGGGUUCUACUUCUCUCAGCUAAAAACAUGAAUCGCUCCAGAUGGGCAUGCCAUCACCAACACUGGUUGGUGAGGAGUGGUAAAGCAUUGCCUGUUCCAAAGAACCCCGGUUCCUAUUGCAUUAUGCUGAUGGCAGAGUCAGGAUUUGGCGUAAGCAGCAUGACUCCAUGACCCCAUCCUGCCUAGUGCCACAGUACAGG